UCCGUCCGUGCGACCCUCGUCCAUCAGACACAAAGACCUAGGCGCCACCUAGGGAGAAGAAUGGAGAAGCCAUGGCGUGAAGAGUCCCAACACUAGUCUCCCAAGUCUUUUGAGGUGAAAAAAUACGGUAAGUUGUUUGUGUAAGGGAAGUUCAAUGACAGAUCUGAGGCCUUAAGCUAAAGCACUUUGUUUCUGGUUUAGUUUUGCCCAAGUUUGACGUGACCGUAAACACACCGCAGACCUACAGCGUUGCAGUUAUGGGACUGGAAGUUGAGUCUUGUGCCAAAUAUACAUAUGGCCAACCUGUACCUGGUCAAGCCUUAGUGGAAGUGUGCCGUGAUCCAUUUCCAUACAGUCUGCUUCAUAAUUUGACCAGACAGUGCCUGACUCAAACCUCAAAGAUGAAUGCCACGGGCUGUGCCUCUCUUACUGUUGAUGCGUCAGUGUUUUUCAACAUCACAUUUGAAGACCAAAUGCAAGACGCAUUUCUUGUAAAUGUGAAUGUUA